AACCGGAGGAGGUGGGAUGACGUCAAGUCAGCAUGGCCUUUAUAUCCUGGGCUACACACACGCUACAAUGGGAAGGGACAAUAGGUUGCGAAGCCGCGAGGCGGAGCCAAUCCAGCAAAACUUCCCUCAGUUCAGAUUGCAGGCUGCAACCCGCCUGCAUGAAGUUGGAGUUGCUAGUAAACGCAGGUCAGCCAUACUGCGUUGAAUACGUUCCCGGGGCUU
rnacentral:rRNA from 1 species